CUGAGUGAGGGCCCUCUGGGUCCAACCUCCCACCCGUGUUUUAUUGUACCUUGUUGCUUCGGCAGGCCCGCCUCACGGCCGCCGGGGGGCCUCUGCCCCCGGGCCCGCGCCUGCCGAAGACACCCUUGAACGCUGUCUGAAGUUUGCAGUCUGAGCGAAAAGCAAAAUUUAUUAAAACUUUCAACAACGGAUCUCUUGGUUCCGGCAUCGAUGAAGAACGCAGCGAAAUGCGAUAACUAAUGUGAAUUGCAGAAUUCAGUGAAUCAUCGAGUCUUUGAACGCACAUUGCGCCCCCUGGUAUUCCGGGGGGCAUGCCUGUCCGAGCGUCAUUGCUGCCCUCAAGCACGGCUUGUGUGUUGGGCCUCCGUCCCCCACCCGGGGGACGGGCCCGAAAGGCAGCGGCGGCACCGUGUCCGGUCCUCGAGCGUAUGGGGCUUUGUCACCCGCUCUGUAGGCCCGGCCGGCGCCUGCCGACCCUCAUCAUCCUUUUUUCAGGUUGACCUCGGAUCAGGUAGGGAUACCCGCUGAACUUAAGCAUAUCAA
rnacentral:rRNA from 1 species